CCUACGGGGGGCAGCAGUGGGGAAUAUUGGACAAUGGGGGCAACUCUGAUCCAGCCAUGCCGCGUGUGUGAAGAAGGCCCUCGGGUUGUAAAGCACUUUCAGUGAGGAAGAACGCCUGGUGGUUAAUACCCAUCAGGAAAGACAUCACUCACAGAAGAAGCACCGGCUAACUCCGUGCCAGCAGCCGCGGUAAUACGGAGGGUGCGAGCGUUAAUCGGAAUUACUGGGCGUAAAGCGCGCGUAGGUGGCUUGAUAAGCCGGUUGUGAAAGCCCCGGGCUCAACCUGGGAACGGCAUCCGGAACUGUCAAGCUAGAGUGCAGGAGAGGAAGGUAGAAUUCCCGGUGUAGCGGUGAAAUGCGUAGAGAUCGGGAGGAAUACCAGUGGCGAAGGCGGCCUUCUGGACUGACACUGACACUGAGGUGCGAAAGCGUGGGUAGCAAACAGGAUUAGAUACCCUAGUAGUC
rnacentral:rRNA from 1 species